UUUAAUGAGAAUUUGGAAUUUAUGUUUUGGCUGAUUCCGUACAUCUAAUACUCUAUAGUUUUUUUCUCUCUGAUUUUCAAGUAUUAUGAGAUGAAAUUUUGUCAUUAGUCAUUCCCCAAUAUCUUGGAUCAUAUGCAGUUAAAACUUAUCGUUGUGUGAGUUGAUAAUGUGACCUUUUUGAAUACAUAUUGAGUCUUUGAGUUUUUUUUUGUUUUAAUUAGUUACCAUUUUUCGUUCGUUACUUCUUUUUCAGUUCGGAAUUUGCGAGAGCUGACUUAUGUUAUUUUCUGUUUGUUAGUAGCUUAGGGAAAACUCGUUCUUGGCCUAUUACUUUGUAGCUAGCUAGUGUGCAGGCCAUCAAUUUUUGGUGUUAUGGGUUACUUAGCUGCGUAAAUAUUAUCUUCCCUUUUACUGCUCCAUUACUUCAUCUUGGCCUUUCAAAACAGUAUAUGAGGUACAGUAGGGCCAAUCCAAAGCUGCUACCAUACCUAAUAUGGAUAUACUUCUAAGUCAUUUUACUAAGAAAACUCAGCUCAUCUUCUUCCGCAACCAUACCUAAUAUAGAUAUACUUCUAAGUCAUUUUACUAAGAAAACUCAGCUCAUCGUCUUCUUGUUCAACCAAUAAUCAUGGUACUGAUGCACUCUUAUGAUGCCCACGUUCAGAUUCAACAUAAGUGGUUUGAGUUAUGGAAUU
rnacentral:lncRNA from 1 species